UACGAAGGGAGCUAGCGUUGUUCGGAAUAACUGGGCGUAAAGGGCGUGUAGGUGGAUAAGUACGUUAGAUGUGAAAGCCCCGGGCUCAACCUGGGAAUGGCAUUUAAUACGGCUCAUCUAGAGUGCGAGAGGGGAAAGCGGAAUGGCGAGUGGAGCAGUGAAAUGCAUUGAGAUUCGCUAGAACACCAGAGGCGAAGGCGGCUUUCUGGCUCGUUACUGACACUAAGACGCGAAAGCGUGGGGAGCAAACAGG
rnacentral:rRNA from 1 species